GACGAACGCUGGCGGCGUGCUUAACACAUGCAAGUCGAGCGAUGAAGCACCUUCGGGUGUGAAUUAGCGGCGAACGGGUGAGGAACACGUGAGAAAUCUGCCUUCAACACUGGGAUAACUCCGGGAAACCGGGGCUAAUACAGGAUAUGAAACCUGCGGGCAUCCGCGGGUUUGGAAAGUUUUUCGGUUGAAGAUGAUCUCGCGGCCUAUCAGCUUGUUGGUGAGGUAAUGGCUCACCAAGGCGACGACGGGUAGCCGGCCUGAGAGGGCGACCGGCCACACUGGGACUGAGACACGGCCCAGACUCCUACGGGAGGCAGCAGUGGGGAAUAUUGGGCAAUGGAGGAAACUCUGACCCAGCGACGCCGCGUGCGGGAUGAAGGCCUUCGGGUUGUAAACCGCUUUCAGCAGGGAAGAAGCGAAAGUGACGGUACCUGCAGAAGAAGCACCGGCUAACUAUGUGCCAGCAGCCGCGGUAAUACAUAGGGUGCGAGCGUUGUCCGGAAUUAUUGGGCGUAAAGAGCUCGUAGGUGGUUCGUCACGUCGGAUGUGAAACUCUGGGGCUUAACCCCAGACCUGCAUUCGAUACGGGCGAGCUUGAGUAUGGUAGGGGAGUCUGGAAUUCCUGGUGUAGCGGUGGAAUGCGCAGAUAUCAGGAGGAACACCAAUGGCGAAGG
rnacentral:rRNA from 1 species